UCGUCUUUUCACAGACACGGUACACAUACGGUAUAAUUCUCAACAUGCAUAGCUUAGAACAAAACCUAUCUCAUAACAAUCACAUACGACACAGCCUCGGUGGUUCAAAUCGUAAACACAUCAAACAAACAAGCUCCUGUAAAAAAAAGCGUCUGCACUCGCCUGGAACAAAACCCGCGCAAACUAAUUCGCACAAUAUCGAUACACCUCACACUUCCCCCCUAGCCAAGCCACAAAACGUCUCCUCUGGUGCAAUCAUCCAUCCUACACAUAGAAGAAAGCGACAAGAACAAACACGUGUGAAGAACAAGAGCGAACAUGAAAUAAAUACCACCAAAAAAACGCGUUGGCGACAAAGCAAAACCAAGCCAAACAAGGAACAACACCAUAUAUACUUUU